rnacentral:ncRNA from 2 species
UAUAUCUUGUGUUUCGUCGGUUCCCGGUCACGGCCGGGAUUAAACGGGAAUCCGGUGCAAUUCCGGAGCUGCCCCGCAGCGGUAAGCGGAAACGAACGCCGUCAACAGCACUGGCCACACCGGCUGGGAAGCGACGGCUACUAGGAGGUUGCGGCGUCCCGCAACCGCGUCCGCAAGCCCGAAUACCUGCCGACGGCCGCGCGUUGCA